rnacentral:rRNA from 1 species
CCGCCAGAGAACUACAAGUGAAAAACUUGAAACUCAAAGGACUUGACGGUGUCCCAUAUCGACCUAGAGGAGCCUGUCCUAUAAUCGAUACCCCCCGUUCUACCCAACCCCAACUAGCAAAGUAUCAGCCUAUAUACCGCCGUCGACAGUUUACUCUAUGAAGACCUAAUAGUAGACACAAUAGCCUUAACGCUAAUACGUCAGGUCAAGGUGUAGUAGAUGUUGGGGAAGAGAUUGGCUACAUUUUUUAUAAUAAAAAACACGAAUUGCACUAUGAAACACUGCAUGAAGGUGAAUUUAGUAGUAAAAC